GAUGAAGAACGUAGCGAAAUGCGAUACGUAAUGUGAAUUGCAAAUUCAGUGAAUCAUCGAGUCUUUGAACGCACAUUGCGCCCCCUGGUAUUCCGGGGGGCAUGCCUGUCCGAGCGUCAUUGCUGCCCUCAAGCACGGCUUGUGUGUUGGGCCCCGUCCUCCGAUUCCGGGGGACGGGCCCGAAAGGCAGCGGCGGCACCGCGUCCGGUCCUCGAGCGUAUGGGGCUUUGUCACCCGCUCUGUAGGCCCGGCCGGCGCUUGCCGAUCAACCCAAAUUUUUAUCCAGGUUGACCUCGGAUCAGGUAGGGAUACCCGCUGUACUUAAGCAUAUCAAUAAGCGGAGGA
rnacentral:misc_RNA from 1 species